rnacentral:rRNA from 1 species
CGUGUAGGCGGCAUGACAAGUCUGGUGUGAAAUAUCUCGGCUCAACCGAGAAAACGCACUGGAAACUGUCAAGCUUGAGUAUCGGAGGGGAAGCUAGAAUUCCUGGUGUAGGGGUGAAAUCUGUAGAUAUCAGGAAGAAUACCGGUGGCGAAGGCGAGCUUCUGGCCAGAUACUGACGCUGAGAUGCGAAAGCGUGGGGAGCGAACAGGAUUAGAUACCCUGGUAGUCC